rnacentral:rRNA from 1 species
AGAGUUUGAUCCUGGCUCAGGACGAACGCUGGCGGCGUGCCUAAUACAUGCAAGUCGAACGCUUCUUUCCUAUCGAGUGCUUGCACUCAUUUGGAAAGAGGAGUGGCGGACGGGUGAGUAACACGUGGGUAACCUGCCCAUCAGAGGGGGAUAACACUUGGAAACAGGUGCUAAUACCGCAUAACAGUCAACACCGCAUGGUGUUGGAUUGAAAGACGCUUUCGGGUGUCGCUGAUGGAUGGACCCGCGGUGCAUUAGCUAGUUGGUGAGGUAACGGCUCACCAAGGCCAUGAUGCAUAGCCGACCUGAGAGGGUGAUCGGCCACACUGGGACUGAGACACGGCCCAGACUCCUACGGGAGGCAGCAGUAGGGAAUCUUCGGCAAUGGACGAAAGUCUGACCGAGCAACGCCGCGUGAGUGAAGAAGGUUUUCGGAUCGUAAAACUCUGUUGUUAGAGAAGAACAAGUGGGAGAGUAACUGUUCCCGCCUUGACGGUAUCUAACCAGAAAGCCACGGCUAACUACGUGCCAGCAGCCGCGGUAAUACGUAGGUGGCAAGCGUUGUCCGGAUUUAUUGGGCGUAAAGCGAGCGCAGGCGGUUUCUUAAGUCUGAUGUGAAAGCCCUCGG